rnacentral:lncRNA from 1 species
GGAGGGUAAUAUGUAGACAAGCUUUACCCCUACCCGAAAGGGCAGAGAGGCUGUUUCCAAUCGACCCCCGGCUCAUAGGAUAAAAGGAAAAACAACAAUAAAACAAAAACAAAGACAAAAACACAAACAAUAGAGCCUUAGUAACUCCAGUAGAAAUAGCGUAAAUAGCGUAAAUAAUUAUCUAAACAUACGGAACAUAAAUACAAUCGCACGCAAUAAUAUCAUACAGUAACUACCAUAACUAACAGCCAUAGGGGGACAUAAGCUAAAACACAAAU